UGAAGGAGAAGAAACCUCGCCUCCUCAACAAAACGUCGUCACCACUACUCCGCCAUCAAGCCCCCUUGCUCCUUCACCAAAAAGGACAAGGAUUGAAACGAUCAUUGAGCCUGCCCCUCAAUUGGGUAGCUCUUCUACUCCGCUCUUGGAUGAUCCCAUGAUCAAAGAGCUUAUUCGCAUCGGAUCCUAGUUCAUUGGGUACCGUGAGUAUGCCAGCAGAACUGAAGAGAAACUUGCAGAGGCCAACAAGCUUGCCGACACUCUUGCUCAAAAACUGGAGCAAAGUGAAGCGGCCCGCAAGAAAGCCGAACUUGUUGCUAGCGAAGCCAAAGCAGAGGCUGAUAAAGCCAAGGCAAAGGCUGCUAGUGUCGAGGAGCUGCAGAAGAGACUUGAGGAUGCUGAAGCUGCAUUAAAUGAGCACAAAGCCGCACAGGCUGCUCGUGAAAAGGGAAUCCUCAAACGCCUGAAUUCGCAAAAUCGGCGCUUCAAAGGCCAAACAAACCAAGAGUUUGAUCUGGAGAAUCCCGACAAUGAUCCUCUCCUUGACGCACUUUCUUAUCUGGAGUUUCAUGGAUCUGAAAUUCGUGAAGGCGUGGUGAAUGCUGACGCAGGAUUGUCGAAGCUAUUCCCCUACUUCUUCCCGAAGAAAGAGGAGCCCAAGACUUUCCUUGCCCUUGCCCAGAGCUUCAAUCCAUCA